UUAAGUUCAGCGGGUAUCCCUACCUGAUCCGAGGUCAAGAGUGUAAAAAGUACUUUUGGACGUCGUCGUUAUGAGUGCAAAGCGCGAGAUGUACUGCGCUCCGAAAUCAAUACGCCGGCUGCCAUGUUUAUGCGAGUCUACGCGCAAGGCGAGACAAACACCCAACACCAAGCAGAGCUUGAAGGUACAAAUGACGCUCG
rnacentral:misc_RNA from 1 species